rnacentral:rRNA from 1 species
AGUGAACGCUGACGGCAGGCCUAACACAUGCAAGUCGAACGGCAGCACAGUAAGAGCUUGCUCUUACGGGUGGCGAGUGGCGGACGGGUGAGGAAUACAUCGGAAUCUACUUUUUCGUGGGGGAUCACGUAGGGAAACUUACGCUAAUACCGCAUACGACCUACGGGUGAAAGCAGGGGAUCUUCGGACCUUGCGCGAUUGAAUGAGCCGAUGUCGGAUUAGCUAGUUGGCGGGGUAAAGGCCCACCAAGGCGACGAUCCGUAGCUGGUCUGAGAGGCUGGUCGGCCACACUGGAGCUGAGACACGGUCCAGACUCCUACGGGAGGCAGCAGUGGGGAAUGUUGGGCAAUGGGCGCAAGCCUGAUCCAGCCAUACCGCGUGGGUGAAGGAGGCCUUCGGGUUGUAAAGCCCUUUUGUUGGGAGAGAAAAGCAGCAGGUUAAUACCCCGCUGUUCUGACGGUACCCAAAGAAGAAGCACCGGCUAACUUCGUG